rnacentral:rRNA from 1 species
UACGUAGGGGGCGAGCGUUGUCCGGAUUUAUUGGGCGUAAAGAGCUCGUAGGCGGCUCGGUAAGUCGGAUGUGAAACCUCCAGGCUCAACCUGGAGACGCCAUCUGAUACUGCCGUGGCUUGAGUCCGGUAGAGGAGCAGGGAAUUCCUGGUGUAGCGGUGAAAUGCGCAGAUAUCAGGAGGAACACCCGUAGCGAAGGCGGCACUCUGGGCCGAUACUGACACUGAGGAGCGAAAGCGUGGGGAGCGAACAGG